AUUGAACGCUGGCGGCAUGCCUUACACAUGCAAGUCGAACGGCAGCACGGGAGCAAUCCUGGUGGCGAGUGGCGAACGGGUGAGUAAAGUAUCGGAACGUGCCCAGUCGUGGGGGAUAACGUAGCGAAAGCUACGCUAAUACCGCAUACGAUCUAUGGAUGAAAGCGGGGGAUCGCAAGACCUCGCGCGAUUGGAGCGGCCGAUAUCAGAUUAGGUAGUUGGUGGGGUAAAGGCCCACCAAGCCGACGAUCUGUAGCUGGUCUGAGAGGACGACCAGUCACACUGGGACUGAGACACGGCCCAGACUCCUACGGGAGGCAGCGGUGGGGAAUUUUGGACAAUGGGCGCAAGCCUGAUCCAGCAAUGCCGCGUGCAGGAUGAAGGCCUUCGGGUUGUAAACUGCUUUUGUACGGAGCGAAAAGGCUCGCACUAAUACUGUGGGCUCAUGACGGUACCGUAAGAAUAAGCACCGGCUAACUACGUGCCAGCAGCCGCCGUAA
rnacentral:rRNA from 1 species